AGUGGCAGACGGCUGAGUAACGCGUGGGUGACGUACCUGAUGGUGGGGAAUAACUGCCCGAAAGGGUGGCUAAUUCCGCAUACGCCCAGUUCUUCGUUGGAUUGGGGAAAGUCGUAAGACGCCAAUGGAGCGGCCCGCGUUCGAUUAGCUGGUUGGUGGGGUAACGGCCUACCAAGGCGACGAUCGAUAGCUGGUCUCAGAGGAUGAUCAGCCAGACUGGGACUGAGACACGGCCCAGACUCCUACGGGAGGCAGCAGUUAGGAAUUUUGGGCAAUGGGCGCAAGCCUGACCCAGCAACGCCGCGUGGGUGACGAAGGCCUUCGGGUUGUAAAGCCCUUUUCUCAGGGAAGAUGAUGACGGUACCUGAGGAAGAAGCACCGGCUAACUACGUGCCAGCAGCCGCGGUAAUACGCAGGGUGCGAGCGUUGCCCGGAUUUAUUGGGCGUAAAGGGCGCGUAGGCGGCCACGCACGUCCGUUGUGAAAUCGCUCGGCUCAACUGGGCGAGGUCGCCGGA
rnacentral:rRNA from 1 species